rnacentral:rRNA from 1 species
GAUGAACGCUGGCGGCGUGCCUAAUACAUGCAAGUCGAGCGAACAGAUGAGGAGCUUGCUCCUCUGACGUUAGCGGCGGACGGGUGAGUAACACGUGGAUCACCUACCUAUAAUACUUGGAUAACUUCGGGAAACCGGAGCUAAUACCAGAUCAUAUAUUGAACCGCAUGGUUCAAUAGUGAAAGACGGUUUUGCUGUCACUUAUAGAUGGAUCCGCGCCGGAUUAGCUAGUUGGUAAGGUAACGGCUUACCAAGGCGACGAUGCGUAGCCGACCUGAGAGGGUGAUCGGCCACACUGGAACUGAGACACGGUCCAGACUCCUACGGGAGGCAGCAGUAGGGAAUCUUGCGCAAUGGGCGAAAGCCUGACGGAGCAACGCCGCGUGAGUGAUGAAGGUCUUCGGAUCGUAAAACUCUGUUAUUAGGGAAGAAAAAAUGUGUAAGUAAAUAUGCACGUCUUGACGGUACCUAAUCAGAAAGCAACGGCUAACUACGUG